AUUGAACGCUGGCGGCAUGCUUCACACAUGCAAGUCGAACGGUAACAGGCCGCAAGGUGCUGACGAGUGGCGAACGGGUGAGUAAUGCAUCGGAACGUGCCCAGUCGUGGGGGAUAACGCAGCGAAAGCUGCGCUAAUACCGCAUACGAUCUCUGGAUGAAAGCGGGGGACCGAAAGGCCUCGCGCGAUUGGAGCGGCCGAUGUCAGAUUAGGUAGUUGGUGGGGUAAAGGCUCACCAAGCCAACGAUCUGUAGCUGGUCUGAGAGGACGACCAGCCAAACUGGGACUGAGACACGGCCCAGACUCCUACGGGAGGCAGCAGUGGGGAAUUUUGGACAAUGGGCGCAAGCCUGAUCCAGCAAUGCCGCGUGCAGGAAGAAGGCCUUCGGGUUGUAAACUGCUUUUGUACGGAACGAAACGGUCCUGGUUAAUACCUGGGGCUAAUGACGGUACCGUAAGAAUAAGCACCGGCUAACUACGUGCCAGCCGCCGCAGUAAGAC
rnacentral:rRNA from 1 species